GAAGGGGGCGAGCGUUGUUCGGAUUUACUGGGCGUAAAGGGCGCGCAGGCGGCUAUUUUUGUCAGGCGUGAAAGCCCCGGGCUUAACCUGGGAACAGCGCUUGAGACGGGAUGGCUAGAGAUCGGGAGAGGAGAGUGGAAUUCCCAGUGUAGAGGUGAAAUUCGUAGAUAUUGGGAAGAACACCGGUGGCGAGGGCGGCUCUCUGGACCGAUACUGACGCUGAGGCGCGAAAGCGUGGGGAGCAAACAGGAUUAGAUACCCUGGUAGUCCACGCUGUAAACGAUGUGUGCUAGACGUUGGGGAGCCUAGCUCUUCGGUGUCGCAGCUAACGCUUUAAGCACACCGCCUGGGGAGUACGGCCGCAAGGUUA
rnacentral:rRNA from 1 species